rnacentral:rRNA from 1 species
GACGAACGCUGGCGGCGCGCCUAACACAUGCAAGUCGAACGAGCGAGAGGGAGCUUGCUUUCUCGAGCGAGUGGCGAACGGGUGAGUAACGCGUGAGGAACCUGCCUCAAAGAGGGGGACAACAGUUGGAAACGACUGCUAAUACCGCAUAAGCCCACGGUGCCGCAUGGCACAGAGGGAAAAGGAGCAAUCCGCUUUGAGAUGGCCUCGCUUCCGAUUAGCUAGUUGGGGAGGUAAUGGCCCACCAAGGCGACGAUCGGUAGCCGGACUGAGAGGUUGACCGGCCACAUUGGGACUGAGACACGGCCCAGACUCCUACGGGAGGCAGGAGAGGGGAAUAUUGCACAAUGGGGGAAGCCCUGAUGCAGCGACGCCGCGUGGAGGAAGAAGGUCUUCGGAUUGUAAACUCCUGUUGUUGGGGAAGAUAAUGACGGUACCCAACAAGGAAGUGACGGCUAACUACGUG